AUCCUUUUCUUUGUUCAUGAGCAUGAUGAUUGGGUAUUCAGGCAACUGCAUGCUAUGUGCUGUCCUGAAACCUUCUUACACAUUGGCACAUUACCUGUUUGGUG